rnacentral:rRNA from 1 species
GAAAAGAACUUUGAAGAGAGAGUUCAAGAGUACGUGAAACCGUUCAGGGGUAAACCUGAGAAACCCAAAAGUCGAAUGGGGAGAUUCAUCGACGACGAAGCUGGCUCCCGUUGGCGUGCGAUUCCCCCGUUGGAGCCUCGGUUCCAGAACGCGGGGUACACCGCCUUCGGCGAACAACCGGCGACGUAGUCGUGCACUUCUCCCUUAGUAGAACGUCGCGACCCGUUGUGUGUCGGUCUACGGCCUGGGCUAUUUGCCUGUCGCGGUGGCACUCGUUCGCUCGCGGCAGAGGCUCGGUCGCCCGGCCGGCUGCACGACGGUACUCCGACGGUAUCGGGCCGCAACCAAUCCAUUCUCGAAUGGUAUAUGCGUCCAGGCCCGUCGCAAGCUCGGACAUGACCCGGAGCGUGUGGACGCAGCGCCCUCCCCGGGUCUGGCCAGCUGUUAGCAGACGGUGUCCUCGGACCGGCCAAGCUUCGAAUUACCGGUCAGCGACGCUAUUGCUUUGGGUACUCUCAGGACCCGUCUUGAAACACGGACCAAGGAGUCUAACAUGUGCGCGAGUCAUUGGGACAUUGAAACCUAAAGGCGAAAUGAAAGUGAAAGUCGUCGUAAGCGUCGACCAAGGGAGGAUGGGCCGCGUCACGUCGCGGCCUCGCACUCCCGGGGCGUCUCGUUCUCGUUGAGAAGAGGCGCACCCAGAGCGUACACGUU